rnacentral:tRNA from 1 species
GGGCCCUUAGCUCAACGGUUAGAGCAGCGGACUCAUAAUCCGUUGGUUGUAGGUUCAAAUCCUACAGGGCCCACCA